GUCUCACCCAGCUCGCAGGCAGCCCAAAAGAGAAUCCUGGAAAAUUAAAAAAAAACAACAACUGGCAAAAAUGAGUAAAUUAGACUGGAGAUUAAGAAAUGAUUAGUACUAUGGAGAAAAAUAAAGCAGAGGAUGGAGACGGGGGUGAAUGGGUCAAAACAGAGUUCUGGAAGUACUCACUGCAGAGACAAAUGGAAAUGAGUCCACUCUAGGAAGAAGAUUAACUGGAAGCUUGAGCUGUGUAAAUGUGACUUCGAAAUGUGACUUCAGGAGAAAGAACCAGGAAAUGAGCUGCUGUAUGAUGAGGAACUCAAACAGCCCUCUGAAGAGAAACACAUAUAAAGGAACUGAAGCCUCCUGUCAAUAACCAGCACUAAUUUGCCAGGAACAUGAGUAAGCUAAUUGGAGGUGAAUCCUGCAGCUUCAGUCAAGCCUUUGCUAACAUCUUGCCUGGAACUCAUGAGAAAUCACCAGCUAAAAUUACCAGAACACCCAGCUAAGCUGUUCCCAAAUUUCUGAUCCAUGGAAAUUCUGUGAGAUACCCUUUUAUUGUUGUUUUAACUUGCUCAUUUUAGGGAAAAUUUGUUAUGCAGCAACAAAUAAGUAUACAGCAUUGGAGGGGGAAAGUAUCUAGAAUAGUUUGUAACAAAGGGUAAAGUUAAGUCCAUGAAAAUGGGGAGUAAGGUAAGAUGUAGAGGAGAAAACCCACAUAAUAUUAAGAAAAGGCACAAACUCCUCUGAGCUUUUUACCUGCUCAUAGAAUAAAAAACAGGAAGCAAGUCAAAGUAAAUAUGAAAUAAAAAAAGAAUGAAUUAGGUCGCAAUAAAUAGAAAAGCCAGGAGAUAAAGAACAAAACAAAAGUUCAUUUUGACAAAAACGGUCACAAAAUCCAGAAUGGCAUCUUUUGAAAAGAGAUUAAAAUCAGGUCCAUUUAAAACAAAAUCACUAGUGACUUGUAACACAAAGCAUCUAAUUCUCCAUAUUAUAUUAUAUUACAAAGAAUCAGAAGUACAGGCUUCAUAUGGUUUUAGGCAGGUCAGUCCUAAGAGACAUAUGGGGCACAAGGUAAAGGGAGAAAAAUAGGGAAGAAA